UACGUAGGUGACAAGCGUUUGUCCGGAUUUACUGGGCGUAAAGAGCGCGCAGGCGGUCGUUCAAGUCGAGUGUGAAAGCCCCCGGCUCAACUGGGGAGGGUCAUUCGAUACUGAUCGACUCGAAGGCAGGAGAGGGUAGUGGAAUUCCCGGUGUAGUGGUGAAAUGCGUAGAUAUCGGGAGGAACACCAGUGGCGAAGGCGACUACCUGGCCUGUUCUUGACGCUGAGGCGCGAAAGCUAGGGGAGCAAACGGG
rnacentral:rRNA from 1 species